rnacentral:rRNA from 1 species
AUACGUAGGUGACAAGCGUUAUCCGGAUUUACUGGGCGUAAAGGGCGUGUAGGCGGUCUUGCAAGUCAGAAGUGAAAUUCCUGAGCUCAACUCGGGCGCUGCUUCUGAAACUGCAGGACUUGAGUGCUGGAGGGGAUAGCGGAAUUCCUAGUGGAGCGGUAAAAUGCGCAGAUAUUAGGAAGAACACCGGUGGCGAAGGCGGCUAUCUGGACAGUAACGGACGCUGAGGCGCGAAAGCGUGGGGAGCAAACAGGAUUAGAUUCCCUGGUAGUCCACGCCGUAAACGAUGAGUGCUAAGUGUUGGAGGGUUUCCGCCCUUCAGUGCUGCAGCUAACGCAUUAAGCACUCCGCCUGGGGAGUACGGCCGCAAGGCUGAAACUCAAAUGAAUUGACGGGG